AUUGAACGCUGGCGGCAGGCCUAACACAUGCAAGUCGAAUGGUAACAGGAAACAGCUUGCUGUUUCGCUGACGAGUGGCGGACGGGUGAGUAAUGUCUGGGAAACUGCCUGAUGGAGGGGGAUAACUACUGGAAACGGUAGCUAAUACCGCAUAACGUCGCAAGACCAAAGAGGGGGACCUUCGGGCCUCUUGCCCUCAGAUGUGCCCAGAUGGGAUUAGCUAGUAGGUGGGGUAACGGCUCACCUAGGCGACGAUCCCUAGCUGGUCUGAGAGGAUGACCAGCCACACUGGAACUGAGACACGGUCCAGACUCCUACGGGAGGCAGCAGUGGGGAAUAUUGCACAAUGGGCGCAAGCCUGAUGCAGCCAUGCCGCGUGUAUGAAGAAGGCCUUCGGGUUGUAAAGUACUUUAAGCGGGGAGGAAGGGAGUAAAGUUAAUACCUUUGCUCAUUGACGUUACCCGCAGAAGAAGCACCGGCUAACUCCGU
rnacentral:rRNA from 1 species